rnacentral:misc_RNA from 1 species
GCGAGUUCGUAAAUGUACAAGAUGUUUUGCGAAAUGUCACUGGUCGGUUGCGUGAUAACCUCUUGGCAGCAAAGGUGUCAAAUGGUGGUGUCAGCAGAAACAGCUCUCCUUUGACAUCUGAAAGUAGUCCCUCUGGCCAAAUGAGGGAACCUCCUUUUGGAUUUCAUCGGUCUAGUGGUGUCUCGCAUGGUAACAAUCAACAUCCUGAGUUAACGCGGUCUAUUAAUAACCUUGUACUUUCCAACAAGACAGAUCACCCCCCAUCACCGGGGCUGUGGUCAUCACAGACACGACCUGGAGUAAACCAAAGAGGUGCUUUUGAUGUCAGCAAAGGAUCUAAUUCAGUUAAAGGUGGCAUGGAACUUGGAAGUGGAAGCAGAUCUGC